GUAGGGAAUAUUGCACAAUGGGGGAAACCCUGAUGCAGCGACGCCGCGUGAGUGAUGAAGGCCUUCGGGUCGUAAAGCUCUGUCGUAUGGGACUAACAAAAUGAAGGUACCAUGCAAGAAAGGAUCGGCUAACUUCGUGCCAGCAGCCGCGGUAAGACGAGGGAUCCUAGCGUUGUUCGGAAUUAUUGGGCGUAAAGCGGGUGUAGGCGGGCCUGUCAGUCAGGUGUGAAAUCCCAGGGCUUAACCCUGGAAGUGCACUUGAUACUGCAGGUCUUGAGUGUGGUAGAGGCUAUUAGAAUUCCUGGUGUAGUGGUGAAAUACGUAGAUAUCAGGAGGAAUACCGGAGGCGAAGGCGGAUAGCUGGCCAGACACUGACACUCAGACCCGAAAGCGUGGGGAUCAAACAGGAUUAGAAACCCGUGUAGUCC
rnacentral:rRNA from 1 species